CCUANGGGUGGCUGCAGUCAAGAAUCUUCCUCAAUGGACGAAAGUCUGAAGGAGCAAUGCCGCGUGAUCGAUGAAGCUCUUCGGAGUGUAAAGGUCUUUUAUCAGGGACGAAUUUGUGACGGUACCUGAAGAAUAAGUCACUGCUAACUUCGUGCCAGCAGCAGCGGUAAUACGAAGGUGGCAAGCGUUACCCGGAAUGAUUGGGCGUAAAGCGUCCGCAGACGGUCAGAAAAGUUCUUGGUUAAAUCUGGUGGCUCAACCUCCAGACCGCCGAGAAUACUUUUUGACUAGAGACUGGAAGAGGCAAGCGGAAUUGCCGGUGUAGUAGUAAAAUGCGUUGAUAUCGGCAGGAACACCAAAAGCGAAGGCAGCUUGCUAGUACAGUUCUGACGUUCAGGGACGAAAGCGUGGGUAGCGAAUGGGAUUAGAUACCCCANUANUC
rnacentral:rRNA from 1 species